rnacentral:rRNA from 1 species
GGGUUGUGAGGUUAAGCGACUAAGCGUACACGGUGGAUGCCCCUGGCAGUCAGAGGCGAUGAAGGGCGUGCUAAUCUGCGAUAAGCGCCGGUAAGGUGAUAUGAACCGUUAUAACCGGCGAUACCCGAAUGGGGAAACCCAGUGUGAUUCGUCACACUAUCAUUAACUGAAUCCAUAGGUUAAUGAGGCGAACCGGGGGAACUGAAACAUCUAAGUACCCCGAGGAAAAGAAAUCAACCGAGAUUCCCCCAGUAGCGGCGAGCGAACGGGGAGGAGCCCAGAGCCUGAAUCAGCAUGUGUGUUAGUGGAAGCGUCUGGAAAGGCGCGCGAUACAGGGUGACAGCCCCGUACACAAAAGCGCAUGUGCUGUGAGCUCGAUGAGUAGGGCGGGACACGUGGUAUCCUGUCUGAAUAUGGGGGGACCAUCCUCCAAGGCUAAAUACUCCUGACUGACCGAUAGUGAACCAGUACCGUGAGGGAAAGGCGAAAAGAACCCCGGCGAGGGGAGUGAAAAAGAACCUGAAACCGUGUACGUACAAGCAGUGGGAGCACAGGUUUACCUGUGUGACUGCGUACCUUUGUAUAAUGGGUCAGCGACUUAUAUUCUGUAGCAAGGUUAACCGAAUAGGGGAGCCGGAGGGAAACCGAGUCUUAAUUGGGCGUUAAGUUGCAGGGUAUAGACCCGAAACCCGGUGAUCUAGCCAUGGGCAGGUUGAAGGUUGGGUAACACUAACUGGAGGACCGAACCGACUAAUGUUGAAAAAUUAGCGGAUGACCUGUGGCUGGGGGUGAAAGGCCAAUCAAACCGGGAGAUAGCUGGUUCUCCCCGAAAGCUAUUUAGGUAGCGCCUCGUGAAUUCAUCUCCGGGGGUAGAGCACUGUUUCGGCUAGGGGGCCAUCCCGGCUUACCAACCCGAUGCAAACUGCGAAUACCGGAGAAUGUUAUCACGGGAGACACACGGCGGGUGCUAACGUCCGUCGUGAAGAGGGAAACAACCCAGACCGCCAGCUAAGGUCCCAAAGUCAUGGUUAAGUGGGAAACGAUGUGGGAAGGCCCAGACAGCCAGGAUGUUGGCUUAGAAGCAGCCAUCAUUUAAAGAAAGCGUAAUAGCUCACUGGUCGAGUCGGCCUGCGCGGAAGAUGUAACGGGGCUAAACCAUGCACCGAAGCUGCGGCAGCGACACUGUGUGUUGUUGGGUAGGGGAGCGUUCUGUAAGCCUGUGAAGGUGUGUCGUGAGGCAUGCUGGAGGUAUCAGAAGUGCGAAUGCUGACAUAAGUAACGAUAAAGCGGGUGAAAAGCCCGCUCGCCGGAAGACCAAGGGUUCCUGUCCAACGUUAAUCGGGGCAGGGUGAGUCGACCCCUAAGGCGAGGCCGAAAGGCGUAGUCGAUGGGAAACGGGUUAAUAUUCCCGUACUUGGUGUUACUGCGAAGGGGGGACGGAGAAGGCUAUGUUGGCCGGGCGACGGUUGUCCCGGUUUAAGCGUGUAGGUGUGUGUUCCGUGUAAAUCCGGUUCACUUUAACACUGAGGCGUGACGACGAGGCACUACGGUGCUGAAGCAACAAAUGCCCUGCUUCCAGGAAAAGCCUCUAAGCAUCAGGUAACAUCAAAUCGUACCCCAAACCGACACAGGUGGUCAGGUAGAGAAUACCAAGGCGCUUGAGAGAACUCGGGUGAAGGAACUAGGCAAAAUGGUGCCGUAACUUCGGGAGAAGGCACGCUGACACGUAGGUGAAGUGAUUUACUCAUGGAGCUGAAGUCAGUCGAAGAUACCAGCUGGCUGCAACUGUUUAUUAAAAACACAGCACUGUGCAAACACGAAAGUGGACGUAUACGGUGUGACGCCUGCCCGGUGCCGGAAGGUUAAUUGAUGGGGUCAGCGCAAGCGAAGCUCCUGAUCGAAGCCCCGGUAAACGGCGGCCGUAACUAUAACGGUCCUAAGGUAGCGAAAUUCCUUGUCGGGUAAGUUCCGACCUGCACGAAUGGCGUAAUGAUGGCGGGCUGUCUCCACCCGAGACUCAGUGAAAUUGAACUCGCUGUGAAGAUGCAGUGUACCCGCGGCAAGACGGAAAGACCCCGUGAACCUUUACUAUAGCUUGACACUGAACAUUGAGCCUUGAUGUGUAGGAUAGGUGGGAGGCUUUGAAGUGUGGACGCCAGUCUGCAUGGAGCCGACCUUGAAAUACCACCCUUUAAUGUUUGAUGUUCUAACGUGGACCCGUUACCCGGGUUGCGGACAGUGUCUGGUGGGUAGUUUGACUGGGGCGGUCUCCUCCUAAAGAGUAACGGAGGAGCACGAAGGUUGGCUAAUCCUGGUCGGACAUCAGGAGGUUAGUGCAAUGGCAUAAGCCAGCUUGACUGCGAGCGUGACGGCGCGAGCAGGUGCGAAAGCAGGUCAUAGUGAUCCGGUGGUUCUGAAUGGAAGGGCCAUCGCUCAACGGAUAAAAGGUACUCCGGGGAUAACAGGCUGAUACCGCCCAAGAGUUCAUAUCGACGGCGGUGUUUGGCACCUCGAUGUCGGCUCAUCACAUCCUGGGGCUGAAGUAGGUCCCAAGGGUAUGGCUGUUCGCCAUUUAAAGUGGUACGCGAGCUGGGUUUAGAACGUCGUGAGACAGUUCGGUCCCUAUCUGCCGUGGGCGCUGGAGAACUGAGGGGGGCUGCUCCUAGUACGAGAGGACCGGAGUGGACGCAUCACUGGUGUUCGGGUUGUCAUGCCAAUGGCACUGCCCGGUAGCUAAAUGCGGAAGAGAUAAGUGCUGAAAGCAUCUAAGCACGAAACUUGCCCCGAGAUGAGUUCUCCCUGAGACUUAGAGUCUCCUGAAGGAACGUUGAAGACGACGACGUUGAUAGGCCGGGUGUGUAAGCGCAGCGAUGCGUUGAGCUAACCGGUACUAAUGAACCGUGAGGCUUAACCUUACAACGCCGAAG